rnacentral:rRNA from 1 species
GACAGAGGGUGCAAACGUUGUUCGGAAUUACUGGGCGUAAAGCGCGUGUAGGCGGUCGGGCAAGUCGGGUGUGAAAGCCCAGGGCUCAACCCUGGAAGUGCAUUCGAUACUGCCUGGCUAGAGUCCCGGAGAGGAUGGUGGAACUCUCGGUGUAGAGGUGAAAUUCGUAGAUAUCGAGAAGAACACCGGUGGCGAAGGCGGCCAUCUGGACGGUGACUGACGCUGAGACGCGAAAGCGUGGGGAGCAAACAGG